rnacentral:lncRNA from 1 species
GUUAGUGUCAAAAUAAGUGACAAACAAUCUUCUAAGCCGCUUAAAAGAAGAGAUGGUGUUGUCCAGUUUUGGAGCUCAAGUGGGAGGAUGAAUUGGAUCUUUUUAAAAUUUUAAAGAUUAGUGCACUAAAAUAAUGUGCUAAAGUAUUUGAGUGGAGAGAGUUGAUUUUCAAUAAAAAUAAAUUCAAACACAAAUGAUAAGAUUACAAGUAUAAGAGAUAAAGAACAAGUA